rnacentral:rRNA from 1 species
GUGACCUGCGGAGGGAUCAUUACACAACAAAAUAUGAAGGCCUGGCUUCGCGGCCGGCUGAAAUAUUUUUUUCACCCAUGUCUUUUGCGCACUUGUUGUUUCCUGGGCGGGUUCGCCCGCCACCAGGACCAAACCAUAAACCUUUUUUUUAUGCAGUUGCAAUCAGCGUCAGUAAAAACAAUGUAAUUAUUACAACUUUCAACAACGGAUCUCUUGGUUCUGGCAUCGAUGAAGAACGCAGCGAAAUGCGAUACGUAGUGUGAAUUGCAGAAUUCAGUGAAUCAUCGAAUCUUUGAACGCACAUUGCGCCCUUUGGUAUUCCAAAGGGCAUGCCUGUUCGAGCGUCAUUUGUACCUUCAAGCUUUGCUUGGUGUUGGGCGUUUUUUGUCUCCCUCUUUCUGGGAGACUCGCCUUAAAACGAUUGGCAGCCGGCCUACUGGUUUCGGAGCGCAGCACAUAUUUUGCGCUUUGUAUCAGGAGAAAAGGACGGUAAUCCAUCAAGACUCUACAUUUUUAACUUUUGACCUCGGAUCAGGUAGGGAUACCCGCUGAACUUAAGCAUAUCAAAAA